ACAGGCAUUUGCAGGAUUUCAGAACACUUGAAAGUAAAGAAGCAGAAACUUUGCAAGAUCAAGGGUCCUUAAGAGAAGAGACACCGCGCAUCCUACGGGUUUAUUUGAGCUUUCUGUUCAAGACGGUGACUUGACCCCAGACCACUGAAGAGCCGAUCUCAUCCCACACAGCAGUACUGGAAAACUGGAGUCACUCUGCAGCUGUGCUGGGACCUGCUCUGCACAGCCAGUGAUGCCACUGACGGCUUUUAGAUAGAAGGAAACGGAGGCUAACGAGCAAAGAAAAUUUCUUGCUCCGCAUUGUUUUUGGAGACUAUUUCUGGCAGACAGGAAGGACUCGUAAAAUCACCAUCAAACUUAUUUUAGCUAAUUCCAUACGUGAGUCGAAGUAUUCCAGAGGUGUGCAUCAAGCCUCGGAGACCUGAUGGCAAAUUUUGUUCCCUGAUUAGACACAGAAAUAAAAGUAUGACACUCUAGGGGCUGCCUGGAAGUGCUUUCCUACAAACAGUGGGGAAAACAGCUUUCAGAUGAUACACAAGAAUAUUUACGGGAGUGGGUCCAAAUAUUGUAUUCUAAAAUGAAUACUUUGAUAAUCAUAACAAUGUGCUUUGAAAAGUAUCACUUUAAAAGGUCAGCUAUACCACCCUCUGACUGCACAUUGAAAGCAUAGCGGAUACAUUGAGUCAUACAUAUUGUUCAUUGUCAUUUGCAUUUGGUGAAAUCCCUGCAUUUUACCCAAUUUAGUAAGCCAGCACCGCCUUGGGCUCCCUUGGCAAUACUCACCUCUAAAUGCAGUUACUGUUUGUUGUGCUAAAACAGCAUCUCAUCCCAUCCCACACCACUAAAUCACUCUUCGGGCUUUUGAUCAAUGUUUUCAAGCCUGUGAGUCAUUUUGCAUUAACGGAAAGAGAGGGAGCGGCACACUACAGCAAUGCGGGUAUUUUGAGAUUCACAUCUGAGAUACUUUUGUGUGUGUUGUUCUGAACAAAAUGACCAUCUGUAUCGGUUUGCAGACAGCCACUGGUGCAUCGCAAGACCUGACUUCGUAUUUGUGUGGAUAAAGACCGGCUUAAUUCAACAAACACCAUGUAGCAUCAUCAGGCUACGUGUCAUAAAAAGGCCUUACAAAAAUCAAAUACAGUUUUUGCAUUCCAGCCUUUAUUUUUAAAAUCAUCCUCGGAAUGUGACCUCACGGCCUUUUCCUUAUUUUUUGCACAUCACCGAGUUAGGGACUGUUCGACUUUCCAAUAGUCAUGUGAGUGAUAUUUCCAACCAGAAUACAGUGGAAGCUGUCCUCACCCUUCCGGGGGCUACACCUGAAGAGUACGCAAAUUUUGUGGGUGUUUAAACCUUCUUUUAUUUUCUAUGAGCAAUGUAAAAAUGACUCAUUCGUGCUUCAGCUGGAAUGUAUAGUUUGUAAACACCAGCAGGGAGCAAUCAUAUUUCUAGCUUUGUAAAUAAAACCAGUCCAAACUGCGUUGAGCGU